GAUGAACGCUGGCGGCGUGCCUAAUACAUGCAAGUCGAGCGAACAGACGAGGAGCUUGCUCCUUUGACGUUAGCGGCGGACGGGUGAGUAACACGUGGAUAACCUACCUAUAAGACUGGGAUAACUUCGGGAAACCGGAGCUAAUACCGGAUAACAUGUUGAACCUCAUGGUUCAACAGUGAAAGACGGUCUUGCUGUCACUUAUAGAUGGAUCCGCGCCGCAUUAACUAGUUGGUAAGGUAACGGCUUACCAAGGCAAGGAUGCGUAGCCGACCUGAAAGGGUGAUCGGCCACACUGGAACUGAGACACGGUCCAGACUCCUACGGGAGGAAGCAGUAGGGACUCUUACGCAAAGGGCGAAUGGCUGACGGAGCGACGUGGCGUGAGUGAAGAAGGUCUUCGGAUCGUAAAACUCUGUUAUUAGGGAAGAACAAAUGUGUAAGUAACUAUGCACGUCUUGACGGUACCUAAUCAGAAAGCCACGGCUAACUACGUG
rnacentral:rRNA from 1 species